rnacentral:rRNA from 1 species
GGACUACACGGGUAUCUAAUCCUGUUUGAUCCCCUUGCUCUCGCGCCUCAGCGUCAGGUAAUAGCUAGAAAACCGCUUUCGCCACAGGUGUUCCUCCACAUAUCUACGCAUUUCACCGCUACACGUGGAAUUCCGUUUUCUCCGCCAUCCCUCUAGAUUUACAGUUUCAAAUGCAGCUCCGAAAUUGAGCUCCGGAAUUUCACAUCUGACUUUUAAACCCGCCUACGCGCCCUUUACGCCCAAUAAUUCCGAUUAAUGCUUGCACCCUCCGUAUUACCGCGGCUGCUGGCAC